GAGGGUAUAGCUCAGUAGUAGAGUAUGUGCUUAGCAUAAACAAGGUUCUGGGUUCAAUCCCCAGUACCUCCA
rnacentral:tRNA from 1 species